AGAGUUUGAUCCUGGCUCAGGACGAACGCUGGCGGCGUGCCUAAUACAUGCAAGUAGAACGCUGAAGAGAGGAGCUUGCUCUUCUUGGAUGAGUUGCGAACGGGUGAGUAACGCGUAGGUAACCUGCCUUGUAGCGGGGGAUAACUAUUGGAAACGAUAGCUAAUACCGCAUAACAAUGGAUGACACAUGUCAUUUAUUUGAAAGGGGCAAUUGUUCCACUACAAGAUGGACCUGCGUUGUAUGAGCUAGUAGGUGAGGUAAUGGCUCACCUAGGCGACGAUACAUAGCCGACCUGAGAGGGUGAUCGGCCACACUGGGACUGAGACACGGCCCAGACUCCUACGGGAGGCAGCAGUAGGGAAUCUUCGGCAAUGGGGGCAACCCUGACCGAGCAACGCCGCGUGAGUGAAGAAGGUUUUCGGAUCGUAAAGCUCUGUUGUAAGUCAAGAACGGGUGUGAGAGUGGAAAGUUCACACUGUGACGGUAGCUUACCAGAAAGGGACGGCUAACUACGUGCCAGCAGCCGCGGUAAUACGUAGGUCCCGAGCGUUGUCCGGAUUUAUUGGGCGUAAAGCGAGCGCAGGCGGUUUGAUAAGUCUGAAGUUAAAGGCUGUGGCUCAACCAUAGUUCGCUUUGGAAACUGUCAAACUUGAGUGCAGAAGGGGAGAGUGGAAUUCCAUGUGUAGCGGUGAAAUGCGUAGAUAUAUGGAGGAACACCGGUGGCGAAAGCGGCUCUCUGGUCUGUAACUGACGCUGAGGCUCGAAAGCGUGGGGAGCGAACAGGAUUAGAUACCCUGGUAGUCCACGCCGUAAACGAUGAGUGCUAGGUGUUGGAUCCUAUCCGGGAUUCAGUGCCGCAGCUAACGCAUUAAGCACUCCGCCUGGGGAGUACGACCGCAAGGUUGAAACUCAAAGGAAUUGACGGGGGCCCGCACAAGCGGUGGAGCAUGUGGUUUAAUUCGAAGCAACGCGAAGAACCUUACCAGGUCUUGACAUCCCGAUGCUAUUUCUAGAGAUAGAAAGUUACUUCGGUACAUCGGUGACAGGUGGUGCAUGGUUGUCGUCAGCUCGUGUCGUGAGAUGUUGGGUUAAGUCCCGCAACGAGCGCAACCCCUAUUGUUAGUUGCCAUCAUUCAGUUGGGCACUCUAGCGAGACUGCCGGUAAUAAACCGGAGGAAGGUGGGGAUGACGUCAAAUCAUCAUGCCCCUUAUGACCUGGGCUACACACGUGCUACAAUGGUUGGUACAACGAGUUGCGAGUCGGUGACGGCGAGCUAAUCUCUUAAAGCCAAUCUCAGUUCGGAUUGUAGGCUGCAGCUCGCCUACAUGAAGUCGGAAUCGCUAGUAAUCGCGGAUCAGCACGCCGCGGUGAAUACGUUCCCGGGCCUUGUACACACCGCCCGUCACACCACGAGAGUUUGUAACACCCGAAGUCGGUGAGGUAACCUUUUGGAGCCAGCCGCCUAAGGUGGGACAGAUGAUUGGGGUGAAGUCGUAACAAGGUA
rnacentral:rRNA from 1 species